rnacentral:lncRNA from 1 species
AACCUUACUUUUAUAAGUGAUUAGGAUUAUUAUUAUUAUUUUAUUUACAUGUAAAUUGAAACAAUAAAUAUUGUGCUGUGUCAUAAUUUCAAACUCAUUAUGUUGCAGUCUUUUCCAGUUGAUAAAAUUGCAAUUCAAAAACUUUUAGGUAGAUUUGCACUGUAUGGAUGGCACAGGAAGAGAACAAAGAGUACAAGAACAUGAAACAUCUUAUUAUGAAUGUAUAUGUAUGUGAUCCUCAAAAAAUUAUUUUACAAAACAAGAUAGAGAAAGAGCUUUAAAAUCCCAAGGAUCCUGCAAAAUGUUUAUUUGGUGUACUAGUCGAAUAAUAGUAUCUAAAAAUAUUGAAACUAUUUUAAAACACAUUACGGGCAUGAGGAUGAUAUAGAGCACUUACAUAAAUACCAAAAUCAGAUAAAUAUCUCUUCAAAGUUUAUUUUGAGACUUUCUUCAAAAAUUAAACUUCAGACUGUUCAGGAUAGCAUAAUAGCAUAGGAGGCGAAUUAAAAAGAAUUGAUUUACUUACAAAGAAAAGAUAUCACAAACAUUAAACUCUCUUAUGGCAUUGAUUUCAAAGAUGGGUAUAUGUACAAUGAUGAUGCAACCAGUGUUUAUUUUUGGGUUGAAUGCUUACAGACUUACGUCCAAUAUUAUUUUACAAACAACAGGGCAUACUAAUGGAUAUUCAUUCUGAAUUUAACAUUUAUGAUUUUUGUCUUAUUUUCCUUAAUACUGUGCCAAAAGGAAAUGUUAAUUAAGUUUGGUAAAUCCUGUAUCGCAAUCGAUGGAACUCAUGGGCUCAAUUCCUAUGACUUUGAACUUAUGACAGUAUUAGUAAAAGAUGAAUUUGGGAAUGGAUUUUGUACUGCUUUCUUAUUUUCAAAUAGAAAAGAUACCUACUUUAAUUUACCAAUUUUUUUAAAUACAUGUCUGUGUUGGUAUUAUAGUCAAAUGUUUUCAUAUCAGGCAUAAGCGACACCUUUUACAACGCCUCGUCAAAUGUAAUGGGUAUUGCUCCUAAUAGACUGUUAAGUGCCUGGCACAUAGAUAAGGCAUGGUAAGUAAAUCUUAAUAAAAUAUCAUUCUGAAAAAAAUCCUAUUAUGUAUACAAGAUGUAUUAAUGAUGGUUUAGAGAGUAUUAAUAGCUUUUUGGGUAGACUUCUAAGUGAUGCAGAUACAUACAAUUUUAGUAAGUAUUUCCAGUAGAACUACUGCAAUAACAUCCAACAAUGGGCCUAUUGUUAUAGGAAGGGGUUGUGGAAUUAAUACCAAUAUGACCAUUCAAAAUUUUCAUAAAAUUUUGGAUAAAAGGGUAUCCAUUAGUUGUUAUCAGUUAAGUUUAAAACUUGGCACUCAUGGAGAGCUAUACCAUAAUAUAUAAUAGGUAUAUCUCAUAAUAUUACAUCUCAUAUUGUUCACUACAGUAGUAAUGAGUGAGCCUGCAUACACAGAACCAUAAUAAUAUAUUAGUUCGUG